rnacentral:rRNA from 1 species
UGGGAAUUUGGACAAUGGGCGAAAGCCUGAUCCAGCAAUGCCGCGUGUGUGAAGAAGGCCUUCGGGUUGUAAAGCACUUUUGUCCGGAAAGAAAUCCUUGGCUCUAAUACAGUCGGGGGAUGACGGUACCGGAAGAAUAAGCACCGGCUAACUACGUGCCAGCAGCCGCGGUAAUACGUAGGGUGCAAGCGUUAAUCGGAAUUACUGGGCGUAAAGCGUGCGCAGGCGGUUUGCUAAGACCGAUGUGAAAUCCCCGGGCUCAACCUGGGAACUGCAUUGGUGACUGGCAGGCUAGAGUAUGGCAGAGGGGGGUAGAAUUCCACGUGUAGCAGUGAAAUGCGUAGAGAUGUGGAGGAAUACCGAUGGCGAAGGCAGCCCCCUGGGCCAAUACUGACGCUCAUGCACGAAAGCGUGGGGAGCAAACAGGAUUAGAUACCCUGGUAGUCCACGCCCUAAACGAUGUCAACUAGUUGUUGGGGAUUCAUUCCUUAGUAACGUAGCUAACGCGUGAAGUUGACCGCCUGGGGAGUACGGUCGCAAGAUUAAAAC